rnacentral:tRNA from 1 species
AGCCUCAUAGUAUAAAGGUUAUUACUGGGGACUCUAAAUCCUUUGAUCUGGGUUCGAAUCCUAGUGAGGCUA